rnacentral:rRNA from 4 species
CAGCAGUGAGGAAUAUUGGUCAAUGGCCUAACGGCUGAACUGGCAACUUGGAGAAGUGGCAAGUCUUCCAGUAUGGGGAGCAAAACAGCUAUGGGUCAAGUCCGAUAUCUUUAGGAGAAGUCUUAUUGUGAGGGCGAGUUAUAUAACACCAUAGGACUGGCCGUCCCAUAUGAAAAGAUUAUAUUAGAAUUGAAUGAAGCUUUGUUUAUAUAUUGAUAAUGACAGUAUAUAUAUCGUGUCUUGACUAAUUGCGUGCCAGCAGUCGCGGUAAUACGUAAGAGACUAGUGUUAUUCAUCUUAAUUAGGUUUAAAGGGUACCCAGACGGUCAAUAUAGCUUAUAAAAUGUUAGUACUUGACUAGAGUUUUAUGUAAGAGGGCAGUACUUGAGGAGGAGAGAUGAAAUUUCGUGAUACCAAAGGGACUCUGUAAAGGCGAAGGCAGCCCUCUAUGUAAAAACUGACGUUGAAGGACGAAGGCACAGAGAACAAACAGGAUUAGAUACCCAAGUAGUCUUUGCAGUAAAUGAUGAAUGCCAUAGGUUAGAUUGAUCAAUUAUAGUCUAGGGUUAGUCUAGCAAACUAAUGCCCUAUGAUAUAAUUCAAAAUAUCUGGUCUAUAAAUGAAAGUGUAAGCAUUUCACCUCAAGAGUAAUGUGGCAACGCAGGAACUGAAAUCACUAGACCGUUUCUGACACCAGUAGUGAAGUAUGUUAUUUAAUUCGAUGAUCC